GGUUUUGAAGCCUAAUGGUUAGGGCAGUCAUCUGAGGAAUGAGAAAUGUAGGUUACAAUUCCUAUAAUUCCU
rnacentral:tRNA from 1 species